UAUGUUAGUGCAUUUCUCCUCUGAUCGAGUUACUCCUGUCACUGCCCUUGGACUACGUUCAUCAUAGCCGGGUGUGCUGGUUUCAGCUGCAACAACAGGGUUCCUGACAAAGGUAAAGGCUUCUUUAGAAUUCCAAAGAAUUCCUGAGGAGACAUGAAGUUCUGUCUAAUUAGCACUGACAACAAUGGUUGCAGAACAUCCCAAGAGUGGAUAUAACUGAAAAGAAUCAAACGCCGUCAGAGUUUGUGGAGAUCAGUGAACAAGCUGCCACAAGCCCCUUGAGGAACGAGCUUCUUUGGAACAGCUUCAUGCUCGAACUGGAUCAGUCAAGAUCUGCAGGAGGAGCCAUGCAGAAGGAGGAGAACACGCAAGGACGGAGAGAGACUGGGAGCUCGGCUUUCCGGCUGCAUUGCACCCAGGAGACCUCGGUCCUCCAGAUGAGCUGAGAGCAGCUCUCACUGGCCUAUCAGCAUGUCAGAGAGACCAAAGACAAGCUCUUACCUUAGCACAAAAAGUCAUGGUCGCCUGGCAACUGAAACCCUCUCCCCCUCCAGUCCUCCAUUUGCAGAUCUGCUCCCUUGGAGAACAUAACUAAACUCUUAAUGUAUGUAUUACUCUUUCAACCUUCAGGAAUAAUCAGAGGUUCACAACAGGCAUCAGAUCAGCGCCCUGAUGGAUUGCCCCCCCGUGGGUGCGGAGCUGGGGGGUGGUCACUGCUGUUUUUAGCCUCCCUGUUUCUAGUAACCAGAAACAAUGCAGUUGGAAUGACACCUGCAUGAUCCGAAAUGCUCAUUCAUCUGAUUCAUGUUCAAUUCAUUUCUAAAAUUCUACAACCAGCUACUAUUCAUGAAAUGUCACUUUAUUAAAUUUAAGCCACAGACAUAUACUUUUGCUGUGUGAAUAUGAACAUGUGCAGUAGGUUUUAUUACCCAGGUUACCUGUAGCUGGCUUGGGGUCCUGAAGAUCAUGUGACCCGGUUUCUGUGCCGAUGCAGGCAGCAGUGCUGCAGCUGGUGAGCUGGGAGAAAACAAAUUGCUUCCAGAAAUAGAUGAAUAUAUUGCUAGAAAGCGGCUCCAGGAUCCUGGGCACUGUCACUUUCUCAAUUCACCUUCCGAUGUCUGAGCCUGUAACUGUCACUGCCACCACUGCAGGAGUAAAGAAGCCACAGAGCGUAAGGGCCCCUAGCGACCAGUCAGAGCUAACGCAGUGUGGCCUUUAGGGGUCCCUCUCCAAAGAGCGUAAGGGCCCCUAGCGACCAGUCAGAGCUAACGCAGUGUGGCCUUUUGGGGUCCCUCUCCAAAGAGCGUAAGGGCCCCUAGCAACCAGUCAGAGCUAACGCAGUGUGGCCUUUAGGGGUUUUUUCCUCCUCACCCUUCUAAAGCUCCACCUCCUCUUUCUCCUGCUCCUCGUUUUCCUCUUCUCUUCCUGCUCUUUCUCCUCCUUCUACUCAUCCUUCUCCUCAUUUUCCCUCUCAUAUUCCUCCUUUUUCUCCUCCUUCUACUCAUCCUCCUCUUUCUCUUGCUCCUCCACCUCAUUUUCCUCCUCCUCUUUCUACUUCUCUUCCUUCUAUUGUGCCACCUUCUUCUUCAUCAUCAUUUUCCUCUUCCUGUCCUCCUUUCUCCUACUUGUACUCUGCCUCCUCUUUCUCCUGCUCCUCCUUCUCCUCAUUUUCCUUCUCCUUCUUCUACUCUUCCUCCUCUUUUUACUAUUUAUCCUCCCCCGUCCCCUCCGGUUUCAUGCCCCUCUGAAUGUCAGCAUUGGUCCUCCUUGUUGUGGCUCCCUGUGUUGCAUGUUGCUGGGCCCAUGUUCCCUGCUGGCAGUUGGUGAGUGAGAGCCUCCCACAGAUUGGGAGGGGACAACUGCAUCAGGACUGCCACCACAUGCCUGCGUGGUCCUGAUGAGGGCACUCAGCCAACACAUCUGGACUAAUUAGACUAUGUGGUUCCUCUGAACUCAGACUAAAGAGGCAGGGGCUGAGUGUGCCAAAGGGAGACUGGCCCAGUUAAGCUGCCCCAUGGGCGGAGUAAGGUUCUGAAUGCCCCCCAGCUCCCUCUCCUCAAGGGUGGGGUCAGACAGAGUGGCACUCGCUGUCAGGGGGAACAGGGAGUGGGGGGGCGAGGCUCUCUUAAGGUGCCUACAUUCGCUGGUGCCUACAUUCCACUCCUCUGAGACUCUGCAAUGUCCACUCCUCUGAGACUCUGCAAUGUCCACUCCUCUGAGACUCCACAGUGUCCACUCCUCUGAGACUCUGCAGUGUCCACUCCUCUGAGACUCUGCAGUGUCCACUCCUCUGAGACUCUGCAAUGUCCACUCCUCUGAGACUCUGCAGUGUCCACUCCUCUGAGACUCUGCAAUGUCCACUCCUCUGAGAUUCUGCAAUGUCCACUUCUCUGAGACUCCGCAGUGUCCACUCCUCUGAGACUCCGCAGUGUCCACUCCUCUGAGACUCCACAGUGUCCACUCCUCUGAGACUCUGCAAUGUCCACUCCUCUGAGACUCUGCAAUGUCCACUCCUCUGAGACUCCACAGUGUCCACUCAUCUCAGUCAAGUUCCCCGGAGCCCGCCCCCCCUCUGCCGCAGGGAGUGGCCUGCUGGGGAAUGACAAGCUCCCCCAUAAUCACAUUACAGCUAAAUUACUCCCCAUGUUAUAAUUGCAUUCAGCGGACGGCUGUGGCCGGGGCUGCAUUCAUCCUUUAAAUGUAAUAAUCUCACCCUCUUAAUCUGUGGGAUAUUUCACUGAAGCCUUUUAGCUGGUCCCCAGGCAGAAGGACAGCAGCAGGGGGGGGAAUCUCCCCUGCAGAGAGGAACUGCUCUAGCUCUAGCCUUCAUCAUCAGGAGUGGGCACAAAUAUAGAUCACAAAUUCUGAUGAAUUAUAUCAUCUAUCCAUCCAUAAUCCAUACCCCCAUCCAUCCAUCUUUCAACUGCCUGUCCUGGGCAGGAUUGCAGAGAGUCUGAAAUGUCUCCCAGAUAGAACUGACCAGAGGAAGCCCUGGAUGGAAUGGCGGUCCAUCACAGGGCGUGGGACACCCUGGACGGGAUGCCAGUUCAUCAUGAAUAUGUAAUAUAGUACAGCAAAUAGCAAAAAUAGCAAUGAUCCAAAAAUUAGAUAGUGGCAUUCCACCCAGGAUGCUUUAUUGAGACAAGCUCCAGUCUUACCCUGGUGAUGAUUUCACAAUAACCUUGUAAUGGUUGGGUGGAUGACUAGUUAAUUGUGCUGAAGGGCAAUACACAGUCAAGAAUGGAGGAUAAUUCUUCCACAAGAUCAAAUCUGGCAACCACAGCUGGAGAAACCCUCUGGGAUUCAUGGAAAAUGGGAGAAACAGGUGGUGUGUUGGGCAGGCAUGGAGCAGCAAGGGGCCUGGCUUGGGGUUUGAAGGCAGUGUGUAUGAGCUUCCCCAGGGUGUGGCCUUUACAGACGGGCGCUAAUCACUUUUCUAGCCUUGUGGGGAAGGAAAUAGCAUCACCAAUUAGCUUAAUGAAGAUCAUUACUGCACUCUCUUGCAUGGAGAGCCAGACACCAAUCUCACAGACAAAAGCCAAUGAAAAUAUAUAACAAAAGCACAUGACAGGAAAGCACUACUUUGUCUCGCCAGAAUGGCCUUUCAUCUCCUUAUACACGCUUUCAUCUGCACCACCUUCCCGUUAAUUACAGCGGUAAAUGAGGGAGUUCCAGUUGGAGCGUAAUGUGAACAGUAUUGUUCUUGUUUUGGGUUAGCGCUGCGCUUAUUGAGGUGCAUUCCUGUGUAAGAAAAGUCCUUAAUUCACCAUAAAUAAAUCAUAAAUCAACUGUAAUUUUUUAAUGGCAAUGUUGUGAUAUUGUGUGAACACAUUUGAAGCUGAAAGCUGCUUUUCACUCUGGACAGACUCACUGGCUUAUUUUGGUUAACUGCAUACUUAAUGAUGCUGAUUAGAGUAUUUAAUGAAUUCUGGCUUGAAAGUGCACUUUUCUGAUCUGCCACAAAAAGUCAUUGUCACAUAACGGUGGGAAUGUUUGUUUAUUAAAGAGCAAAGUGUUUCUAAACCAUUUUGCAUUGAAGUUCAGUAUCAUUAUUUUAGAUUGGCGUUGGAGUCAUUCUUUAAUUGGAGGUGGUCUGUGGCUACGUGGUAUCGGACCCUAUGCCUGUGAUCAGAAAGUUGCUUGUUCAAAUCCCAGUGUUGGCAGACUAAUGUGCCCCAUGAACCAUCUGCCAUACCUCCCUGACCCCACCAGAUGGCGCCUCUGGUUUGCUUUAGACAAACCAUGUACCAGUAGCCAUAAAAUCUACUGUGUUGGGGGUCUUCACAACAGCGUUUCUCCACUUCCGAAAAAACUUCCAGAACGACAAAGUGUGAGUGUGACCUGCUGAACCUGGGGUGCCACCUGUCCUGGUUUUCCCGGAAUUCUCCUCUGUUUUGAGCAACUGUCCUGGAAAAUUAAUAUUUUUUUCCCGGGACA